rnacentral:rRNA from 1 species
AUUGAACGCUGGCGGCGUGCCUAACACAUGCAAGUCGAGCGGUAACAGGUGUAGCAAUACAUGCUGACGAGCGGCGGACGGGUGAGUAACGCUUGGGAAUCUGCCUAUUAGGUGGGGGACAACCCGGGGAAACUCGGGCUAAUACCGCAUACGCUCUACGGAGGAAAGCCGGGGACCGCAAGGCCUGGCGCUAAUAGAUGAGCCCAAGUCGGAUUAGCUAGUUGGAGGGUAACGGCCUACCAAGGCUACGAUCCGUAACUGGUCUGAGAGGACGACCAGUCACACCGGAACUGAGACACGGUCCGGACUCCUACGGGAGGCAGCAGUGGGGAAUAUUGGACAAUGGGGAAACCCUGAUCCAGCGACGCCGCGUGGGUGAAGAAGGCCUGCGGGUUGUAAAGCCCUUUCAGUAGGGGAAGAAAAGCCUCGACCUAACACGUCGGGGUCUUGACGUAACCCAUAGAAGAAGCACCGGCUAACUCUGUGCCAG